rnacentral:rRNA from 1 species
UUGGAGGGCAAGUCUGGUGCCAGCAGCCGCGGUAAUUCCAGCUCCAAUAGCGUAUAUUAGAGUUGUUGCAGUUAAAAAGCUCGUAGUUGAACUUCGGGGUUUACCCAUUGGUCAGGCUUAAUUGUCUGUACUGGUGAGAUAAAUCUCUACCUUCUGAGGAACUUUCAUGUCAUUAAUUUGGUGUGAUUGGAAAUCAGGACUGUUACUUUGAAAAAAUUAGAGUGUUUAAAGUAGGCUAACGUCUGAAUACAUUAGCAUGGAAUAAUGAAAUAGGACGGAUUGAUUCUAUUUCGUUGGUUUCUAGGAUCACCGUAAUGAUUAAUAGGGAUAGUUGGGGGCAUUAGUAUUCAAUUGUCAGAGGUGAAAUUCUUGGAUUUAUUGAAGACUAACUACUGCGAAAGCAUUUGCCAAGGAUGUUUUCAUUAAUCAAGAACGAAAGUUAGGGGAUCGAAGACGAUCAGAUACCGUCGUAGUCUUAACCAUAAACUAUGCCGACUAGGGGUCGGACGAAGUUAAUUUUGUAAUGACGCGUUCGGCGCCUUACGGGAAAC